AUACAUAUAAAAGAAACCUGAUUAUAACCUAUACGGGGCUGUUCCAAUCAUCAUAGAAGCAUCUGGAGAGCGUGAGACCAUCCUCUCGAGUGCCUCCAAGAAAUGAUUUAACCACACACAGGAGCUGCCUGAGAAAGCACUGAGAAGGAGGACAAACAGCAAUGGCGUUUUAUCUCCCCUGGUGGGACUAGAAACAGCUUGACAGCAUGGCCCUGUCUGCUGUUUCUUUGUGCCCCUCACGGAGUAUAUAUAACUAAACAGAUGAGGAAGGAAGAGGGCUCCAGGGAACCUGUGGUGAGGUCGCCCGCAAUCUGUCCUCACCGGUCGGUCGGGGCAGAGAAAGUUGUCGCCUCUGCUCCGCUGUGGGGAGGCUGUGGGAUUUUGCAGCUAUUUGAAUGAUUAAAUGGAAUGUCCUGGAUGGAUGAGAAGGAAUGACUACAAGCACAUGACCUGGCUUGGGAUCUUUACAGAAAUGCUGAUGUGAAGAGGGAGGCAAGAGUGAUUCGCUUUCUAGACUGCACAUUCUCCUUGGGCCACUGGUCUAGCAUCCUGUUUAAGGUCGCCAGUCAACUGACCACCCCCCUCACCUUCUCCCAGCGCCCCGCACCCCUCCUGCACUCUCCCUCAGGGAAAGUCUCCGGCUACGGCAUUUACAUUUACGUUGGGAACCACACACUCUGCAUUUUAAUGAUAGGAAAGCACUUAUGUCUUUUUCUCUAAUGAUUUAAUAGUCUGUCUUCCCAACCAGAUUGUAAAACUCUCCAGGGCAUGGAAUACCAUCCACUGGCUCAAUUGCUGAGCUUCUGGCUGCCCUGCACUCAGGACGACAGAAGAGCUAGAAUUGACUGUGUGCUCCAGGGAGGGGACCACGCUUCACAAGUCAGAUGCAGCAUCUCCAGGAGCUCAGAAGGCAGCCAGCUUGCACUUUCUGCCUGAUUCCUACAAUGACCCAGUGAGGCAGGAGGAGUGAGCAGCAGUUUUUGACGCUAAGGAAACUGAGGCGUAGCAAGGUUAACACACUUGCCCCAAAGCACUAAGAAAGGGGCAGAGCCAGAAUUCAAACUUCAGUCUACCUUAAAAACCCGUACUCUUAACUACCAUAUUAAUAAGCAAAACUGAAGUAGAGCUGUAAGAUUACCGAGUACAGCAGUCGGCCCACAUCUUGGGGGAGGCGUUCCAGGACCCCCAGUGGAUGCUGGAAACCUCGGAUAGCGCCGAAACCUAUAAAUACUGUUUUUUCCUGCACAUACACACCUAUGAUAAAGUUUAACGUAUAAAUUAGGCACUGUAAGAGAUUAACAACAAUAACUAAUAAUAAAGUUGACUUUGGGGCCAUUAUGAAGUGAAAUAACAGUUACUUGAACGCAAGUGCUGUGGCACAGUGACUGUCUAUCCGACAAUCGAGAAGACGACUAAGCGACCGUUGGACAGGAAGCAGAUAGAGCAGGGAUCUGCUGGACGAAGGGAUGAUCCACGUCCCAGUUGCAGGCCGUCUGUACCUACCAAGAGGGUCCCGGAGUUGGUAUGAACUGUAAGGCCUGCAGUCCAGGAAAUGAGGAUCUCGAAGGUGCUGGAGUCUCAGUCGACAGCUCUCAGGGGAAGAGGAAAGAAAAGAUAGGAACUACAAUCUGGCUGGGCGGGAGAUUGAAGCUGUAUUUACACAGCAGUGUUCUUAAGACUGAGGAAUCACUAAAUGGGCUCAGUUGAUGGAGAUUGAGUGAUACUCUCAUUCAACUUGGGGCCUCAACCAUUCUUCUUCCUCCCUUCCGAACUGACCGAUGAAUUUGAGCCGGCUAUGGUAUUUGGCGACAUGAGCACAGCGGUUUACAGGGAAGUUACACAGAGUCUCUUGUUUGGCUGCGGUGGUGGCCAUACUUGGAGAGAAGUCUCGGGGCUCCCCUAUGCCACCACCUGCCCCAACUCACACACUCUCAGUUCUCCAUAGGAAAUUCACCACUUUAUGGCCUCGCAUAAAAGUGCCAUUCUGAAUAAACACAAAAG
rnacentral:lncRNA from 1 species